UGCUUAAGAAUUCCACGGUCCUUAUUCAUCCAAGCCACCCCAUUCUUCUUUUAUAUCCUACACCAUUUUUCACCCAAAUCCCACCUCUCACAUUCAUCAACCAUCUCUAUCGCAGCCAAGAAACGACAUCACAUCCUUCAUCAUUCAAGUGCCCUAAUUCUCCUCCCUCGCUGCACACAACUUCCGCCACCAUUCUCCCCGCGCCACCCAGCCGAUGUUACACCUUCCGGCGGCGGCGCCUCCAUCCCGUCAUCAUUCUCUCGCUGAUUUCUCAUUAUCGACAUCUCUCCGCACUCGCUGAUUCCUCAGAUUUCGUAGGAAUUUGAAGUCCCAAUCGCUGAAGUCAGUUCCACAGAUGAAGUUUCCAUCGCUGAUUCCUCAUUAUCGCCGAAGUCUCCAUCUCUGAAGUCUCUAUCACAGAAAAGUGCGCCUCCAUUGCCAAAGUCAGUUCCAUAGAUCACCGCUGCUCUUGCUCUGCUGUGUUUCGUCGCUGCUCUAGGCUUUGUAGCUGCUCUCUGCGUCUUUCUCUGGUCCGUCGUGCUUCGCCGCCUCUAAGCUCCAGGCGGGAAGUGAUAGCUAAAGAUGGAAGUAACUCUACGCCCGUUGUGGGAACGAAUAAGGUGGGCUUUCUUAAAACACGUAUAUAGAGAUGCCCUGCAUACAGGCCUCUUAUACGAAAUGAAAUGAAUGACAUGAUAUGACUGUAUUAUUUCAAAUGGUGAAUGGUUCUUAUGAAAUGAAAUGUUUAUGGAAAUGAUUAAAUGAUGAAUGGUUUUUAUGAAAGGAAAGGAAAUAUUUAUGAAA